GUCUCACCAGUGGAACAUGAACGCACAGCGUGCCCAAGCAGCGGCUGCUUUCACAGAAGUCUUCAAUCUUCACUCUCACAGCUGUGAGAUCACCUGUUGAAAAGCAUUCAGAAAAGCACAGAUGUCUGAUUUGCAGACAGCCAAGUGUGAAGUGCUCAGAAUUCAUUUUAGGAGUCUUAGAGAAUGACAUAACAGAGCCAGAUGUUUUCAUCUUACAAAGCCAUACUUGGGCAUCACCAGUGAAGCUUCUGGUAUGGAUUUCCAGCCACCUGUG
rnacentral:lncRNA from 1 species